AGAAGAAUGAUGGUUACCUGUAAGGGAGUGAAUACCUUGUCACCAGCAGAAUCCCAGGAUGAAGAUGACGACGAAGACCAGGAUCUGGGAGAGGGCUCUCAAGUAAUUCUUCAUCGAAUCCAUGAUCUACCAGACCAUAAUGCCAUUGGAGAUAUUGGUCGAUGUUGGGAGAUGUAGCUGAGGCUUGAUUUGGCCGAGUUUGCUUCCUUUUGAGGUUUCUAGAGGAAUGAAGAGGAAGAAGACGUAGCCAAAGAAGUUUGACCGUUUGCUUGCAGCUGCUGCUCCACUGAGUCCUCAGCACGAGCCACUGGAUUGGUGGGACGACUUCCAACAGAGAUUUACCAGGCCUUUAUCUGGAUCAGAAUCCAGAAAUGCAGUGAAAUUUGAAUCUGUCUUCAAAAUUUCAAGAAGGACAUUCAAAUGCAAGGACCUGGAUUCUGGUUUCAUUUGUCAUCUUCAAUAGUUCCAGCUUUUGGUGCCAUGACUUGCAACUCGAAACUAGUUACAGAAA